AUUGAACGCUGGCGGCAGGCCUAACACAUGCAAGUCGAGCGGAGCGGCGGACGGGUGAGUAAUGUCUGGGAAACUGCCUGAUGGAGGGGGAUAACGUCCGGAAACGGGCGCUAAUACCGCAUACUAUCAGAUGAGCCUAGGUAGGAUUAGCUAGUUGGUGGGGUAAAGGCCUACCAAGGCGACGAUCCGUAACUGGUCUGAGAGGAUGAUCAGUCACACUGGAACUGAGACACGGUCCAGACUCCUACGGGAGGCAGCAGUGGGGAAUAUUGGACAAUGGGCGAAAGCCUGAUCCAGCCAUGCCGCGUGUGUGAAGAAGGUCUUCGGAUUGUAAAGCACUUUAAGUUGGGAGGCGUUACCAACAGAAGAAGCACCGGCUAACUUCGUGCCAGCAGCCGCGGUAAUUC
rnacentral:rRNA from 1 species